UCACUCUGCUCUCUCUUCAAUUGUCGAAUAAAUCUUUCGCCUUUUACUAAAGAUUACCGUGGAGAGGGAUGAAAAUCUCUGACGAGUUUGUAGUUAUUUUUUGUUUGUACUCGUUCCUUGAUUGGAACGG